rnacentral:rRNA from 1 species
AUAAGUACGCGGAGGACAUGAAACUAAACAGGAUACCCAUAGUAAUGGCGAAUGAACAGGGAGGAGCUCAGCAUGAAAAUUGGGUGUUGUGGCUUUGACUUGUAAUCUUCUGAAGCAUUGCCAACAGAGGCGCAGAUGUAAGUCUUUUGGGAAAGAGCGUCAAUGAAGGUGAGAAUCCUGCUUGCCAUUUGCAGCCCCUUGUGCACGGUGUGCUGUCGAAGAGUCACGUUCCUUGGGAUUGGAGCGCAAAGUGGGUGGUAACUUUCAUCUGCAGCUAAAUAUUGGUCCGGGCCCGAUAGGAAACAAGUACCAUGAGGGAAAGUUGAAAAGGACUUUGGAAAGAGAGUUAAAAGUGCCUGAAAUUGCUGGAAGAGAAGCGAAUGGAACCAGUGGCAAUGGUUGAGAUUGUCACACACUUCAAGGAUUGGUUGUUUUGCCAGCGCAAGUGGUUUAGCAAUUAUUGAGAUUCCAGUGUGUGGUGUGUCUUGCCUUCUGUGUCAUGGCGUGUUUAUGCAUUAAUACUAUUCAAAAUGUAUGGCAAUAUGCUUUUCAAUCUAUGAAUGUGUCUGUUGCAUUUGUGCAUAAGCGUAUUAGUUAAUGUGGCUGCAGAAUGUGAUGCCUCGAGUUGCUUGGUUAAGCGUGAUCAUUUCUUUCCGCACUGAUCUUGAUUAAAUGGUU